GAUUACUAGCGAAUCCAACUUCACGAAGUCGGGUUGCAGACUUCGAUCCGAACUGGGACCGGCUUUAGAGAUUAGCAUCACCUCGCGGUGUAGCUGCCCUUUGUACCGGCCAUUGUAACACGUGUGUAGCCCUGGACAUAAGGGCCGUGCUGAUUUGACGUCAUCCCCACCUUCCUCUCACCUUACGGUGGCAGUCCCGCUAGAGUCCCCGCCUUGACGCGCUGGCAACUAACAGUAAGGGUUGCGCUCGUUAUGGGACUUAACCCGACACCUCACGGCACGAGCUGACGACAACCAUGCAGCACCUUGGAGAGUGUCCGAAGAAAACCACCUUUCAGCAGCUGUCACUCCCCAUUUAAGCCCAGGUAAGGUUCCUCGCGUAUCAUCGAAUUAAACCACAUGUUCCUCCGCUUGUGCGGGCCCCCGUCAAUUCCUUUGAGUUUCAACCUUGCGAUCGUACUCCCCAGGUGGAUCACUUAACGCUUUCGCUUAGCCGCUUACUG
rnacentral:rRNA from 1 species